CGAACGCUGGCGGCGUGCUUAACACAUGCAAGUCGAACGCGAAAGGGACUUCGGUCCUGAGUAAAGUGGCGCACGGGUGAGUAACGCGUAGAUAACCUGUCUUCAUGUCUGGAAUAAUACGCCGAAAGGGGUACUAAUACCGGAUAUUCUUGCUUUUCAUAAGUUAUGCAAGCAAAGGUGGCCUCUGCAUAUGCUACUGCAUGAAGAGGGGUCUGCGUACCAUUAGCUAGUAGGUGGGGUAAUGGCCUACCUAGGCGACGAUGGUUAGCGGGUCUGAGAGGAUGAUCCGCCACACUGGCACUGGAACACGGGCCAGACUCCUACGGGAGGCAGCAGUGAGGAAUAUUGCGCAAUGGGGGAAACCCUGACGCAGCGACGCCGCGUGAGUGAGGAAGGCCUUCGGGUCGUAAAGCUCCGUCAAGAGGAAAGAAGUGUACAAUGGCUAAUACCUGUUGUAUUUGACGGUACCUCUAAAGGAAGCACCGGCUAACUCCGUGCCAGCAGCCGC
rnacentral:rRNA from 1 species